AUUGAACGCUGGCGGCAUGCCUUACACAUGCAAGUCGAACGGUAACAGGUUAAGCUGCCGAGUGGCGAACGGGUGAGUAAUGUAUCGGAACGUGCCCAGUCGUGGGGGAUACCUGCUCGAAAGAGCAGCUAAUACCGCAUACGACCUGAGGGUGAAAGCGGGGGAUCGCAAGACCUCGCGCGAUUGGAGCGGCCGAUAUCAGAUUAGGUAGUUGGUGAGGUAAAGGCUCACCAAGCCGACGAUCUGUAGCUGGUCUGAGAGGACGACCAGCCACACUGGGACUGAGACACGGCCCAGACUCCUACGGGAGGCAGCAGUGGGGAAUUUUGGACAAUGGGCGCAAGCCUGAUCCAGCCAUGCCGCGUGAGGGAAGAAGGCCUUCGGGUUGUAAACAGCUUUUGUCAGGGAAGAAAAGGUUCUGGCUAAUACCUGGGACUCAUGACGGUACCGGAAGAAUAAGCACCGGCUAACUACGUG
rnacentral:rRNA from 1 species